rnacentral:rRNA from 1 species
UACGUAGGGGGCAAGCGUUGUCCGGAAUCAUUGGGCGUAAAGAGCGUGUAGGCGGCCCGAUAAGUCCGCUGUGAAAGUCCAGGGCUCAACCCUGGAAUGCCGGUGGAUACUGUCGGGCUCGAAUCCGGAAGAGGUGAGUGGAAUUCCUAGUGUAGAGGUGAAAUUCGUAGAUAUCGGGAGGAACACCAGUGGCGAAGGCGGCGAUCUGGGUAGAUACUGACGCUGAGGUGCGAAAGCGUGGGGAGCAAACAGG